AUUAAAGUUUUAUUCUUGCUUUGUUAUUUGCGUAUAGGAUGUUUUACAUACAUGGAAUGUAGCCUAAAGGGUUUAUUUUGUAGUAAUUAAUAUUAUACAAUCAGAGUGUUUUGGAUAUAGUAAUCCUAUUAGUAUUGGUUAAAUGCGUGCCAGCUGCCGCGGUUAGACGUGAAUUACGAGUGAAUAUUGUUGAUUAGGAGUUAAUUGUUGAAUUUCAUGGUUGAAGUAGUUAUUUUGGUGAAAUGAUUAAAUUGUAAGUUGUGAAUGAGGAAGAUUAUGAAGCUUUGAAAUGUUAUAAUAAACUAGGAUUAGAUACCCUAUUAUUAAUUAUGUAAAUUUGAAUGUCAGGGUAGUAAUAGAUAUGGUCUUGAAACCCAAAGAAUUUGGCGGUAUUUUAGUCCUUUCAGAGGAACCUGUUCUGUAAUUGAUAAUACACGAUUUAUUUAACUUAAUUUUGUUAUCAGUUUAUAUACCGCCGUCAGUAAGAUUAUCUUGUGGAGAGUAUAAAAUUUCAUUAUAUUUAAUUGGAUAAUAUGUCAGGUCAAGGUGUAGCUAAUAAUUAAGUAGAAAUGGGUUACAAUAAAAUUAUUUAUUGGAUAGUAAGCUGUAAUGGUUACUUGAAAUUGGAUUUGAUUGUAAAUGGGUUUAAAUUGGCUUGUUGAUUAAGGCUCUAGAAUGUGCACAUAUCGCCCGUCGCUCUCGUUAUAAGAUGAGAUAAGUCGUAACAUAGUAGAUGUACCGGAAGGUGUAUCUGGAAUGU
rnacentral:ncRNA from 1 species